UACGGGGGGGGUAAGCGUUGUUCGGAAUUACUGGGCGUAAAGGGCUCGUAGGCGGCCAACUAAGUCGGAUGUGAAAUCCCCAGGCUUAACCUGGGAACUGCAUCCGAUACUGGAUGGCUUGAAUCCGGGAGAGGGAUGCAGAAUUCCAGGUGUAGCGGUAAAAUGCGUAGAUAUCUGGAGGAAUACCGGUGGCGAAGGCGGCAUCCUGGACCGGCAUUGACGCUGAUGAGCGAAAGCUAGGGGAGCAAACGGG
rnacentral:rRNA from 1 species